CAUGUGAGCAGAAAAAAAGGAUUAAGAGUUCUUGGAGCUCAUGUACGUGGAUCGACAAUUCGCUCCGGGGUUUUUUUUAAAAAAAGAGAUUUGGGGGGUGGGUGGGGGACCAGAAACGGCCACUAGAGGGUGAAUCCUCGCGGGAACAAUGUACAGGGAGCGGCCCGAGCACCGGGACCGGGAAAAAGUGCCCGGGAUUGCAGCCCCAUUGCCUGGAAAGAUGCAGAGACCCUCGGUUCCCUGACACCCCAGCUGCCACCUCGGGGCCAUGAGGAAAGAGAGGCCGAGCGAAACAAGAAGCAAGCGGGCAAUAUGGGAACGACUCUGUGCACAGUCGGAAUGGAUUUGUCAAAGGAGGGACGGUUUAUUAAGAGAACUACAUCUGCAAGGAACGGAAACGUGCUCUGGAGGAAAUGCAAGGUCCGGGGAGCACUCCUGAUCUUCGCCGUUGGAAUGCGUACUCCAGCCGGUCGCUUUGAUAUCAGCUCCUGGUCUAAUCUUUGCCGCCGCCUUAAAUACAGCCUCGGUGUAGAUGUCAGCCACAAAUCAACUGUCAAUGGCUUUAACAUUUCUGAACUUGAUCUUACAGGAAGACUCACUGUUUACCAACCACUGUGGUUUGUUACGUGUUCUCGUACAAAAAAAAAGUUACAACCACGUCUAUUAGCUACACUUUAGCAUUGCAAAAGCACCACGAAGAAUAUGAAAUUUCUCUUUUUUAAAUAAAGUUGUGUUUAACCAGA